UCGGUAGCUCAGUCGGUAGAGCAGCGGACUUUUAAUCCGUUGGUCGCGAGUUCGAAUCUCGCCCGA
rnacentral:tRNA from 1 species